GUUAAACAUAAAGAGCGUAGGGUGGAUGCCUAGGCACUGACAGCCGAAGAAAGACGUGACAAGCUGCGAAAAGCUGCGGGGAGAAGCACAUAUUCAGUGAUCCGCAGAUGUCUGAAUGGGGAAACCCACUUGGAAGAACUCCAAGUAUCUGUACGCCAAUACAUAACGUACAGAGGGGAACCCGGUGAACUGAAACAUCUAAGUAGCCGGAGGAAAAGAAAACAACAGUGAUUGCGAAAGUAGCGGCGAGCGAAAUCGUAAGAGCCCAAACCGUGGUGCGUGCACUGCGGGGUAGAGGACUGCAACACGAGUAAGAUAUAUUACCUGAACCGUUUUGGAAAAGCGGGCCAAAGAGCGUGAGAGCCGUGUAAGGGAAAAUGUAUUGAAUCCAGCAGUAUCCGGAGUACCACGAGACACGAGAAACCUUGUGGGAAGCAGGGGGGACCACCCCCCAAGGCUAAAUACUAGUCAGUGACCGAUAGCGUAUAGUACUGUGAAGGAAAGGUGAAAAGAACCCCGGGAGGGGAGUGAAAAAGAACCUGAAACCCUAUGUUUACAAACUGUGGAACACCGAAAGGUGAACCGCGUACUUUUUGUAGAACGGUCCGGCGAGUUACAUGUACAGGCGAGGUUAAGUAUUAAAGAUACGGAGCCGAAGGGAAACCAAGUCUUAAUAGGGCGAGUUUAGUCAGUAUGUGUAGACCCGAAACCGGGUGAUCUAUCCAUGUCCAGGUUGAAGUUCGCGUAAAAGUGAAUGGAGGACCGAACGCACAUCCGUUGAAAAGGGUGGCGAUGAGGUGUGGAUAGGGGAGAAAUUCCAAUCGAACCCGGAGAUAGCUGGUUCUCCUCGAAAUAGUUUUAGGACUAGCCUCGUUAUUAGUCUACCGGAGGUAGAGCACUGAAUUUUUGCGGGGGCGUCAAAGCCUACCAAGAGAUAUCAAACUCCGAAUGCCGGCUAGAUGAUUGACGGGAGUCAGACUACACGAGAUAAGUUGGGUAGUCAAAAGGGAAAGAGCCCAGACCUACGGCUAAGGUCCCAAAGUGUGUGUUAAGUGGAAAAGGAUGUGGGAUUUCGAAGACAGCUAGGAUGUUGGCUUAGAAGCAGCCAUACAUUAAAAGAGUGCGUAACAGCUCACUAGUCGAGAGGUCCUGCGCCGAAAAUGUCCGGGGCUAAACACAACACCGAAGCCUGGGAAUGUAGUAAUACAUUGGUAGAGGAGCAUUCUUAGAGGCGUAGAAGCCAUACCGAAAGGAAUGGUGGAGUAAUAAGAAGAGAGAAUGCCGGAAUGAGUAGCGAGAAAGAGGUGAGAAUCCUCUUGGCCGAAUAUCUAAGGUUUCCUGAGUAAAGCUGAUCUACUCAGGGUAAGUCGGGGCCUAAGGCAAGGUCGAAAGACGUAGUCGAUGGAUAACAGGUACAGAUUCCUGUACUACAUAUAAUCAGAACUGUGGGGACACGGAGACUGAAAACCGAACCCGGGAGGACAAAAACCGGGGCAAGCGAAGUACCUGUAUGGGAGGAAAAACCACCAUACAAGGGGAAUGCGUGAUGCGUACCGAAAUUUAGUAGGGAAGUCGGUUAGGGAGCCGUCAAGAAAAGCCGCUAUUGUGUUAUAUGUACCCGUACCGCAAACCGACACAGGUAGAUGAGGAGAGAAUCCUAAGGCCGGCGGGAGAAGCAUUGUUAAGGAACUCGGCAAAAUGACCCCGUAACUUCGGGAGAAGGGGUGCCACUAGCAAUAGUGGUCGCAGAAAAAAGGCUCAAGCAACUGUUUAGCAAAAACACAGGUCUAUGCGAAACCGCAAGGUGAAGUAUAUGGGCUGACGCCUGCCCGGUGCCGGAAGGUUAAGAGGAGAAGUCAGGAAACGAAGCUUUGAAUUGAAGCCCCGGUAAACGGCGGCCGUAACUAUAACGGUCCUAAGGUAGCGAAAUUCCUUGUCGGGU
rnacentral:rRNA from 1 species